rnacentral:tRNA from 1 species
UAAAAGAUAAGCUAAGAAAGCUAAUAGGUUCAUACCCUGUCCAUGAAAUAAAAAUUUCUCUUUUAA